rnacentral:rRNA from 1 species
GGCUCACCAAGGCGACGAUGCAUAGCCGACCUGAGAGGGUGAUCGGCCACAUUGGGACUGAGACACGGCCCAAACUCCUACGGGAGGCAGCAGUAGGGAAUCUUCGGCAAUGGACGAAAGUCUGACCGAGCAACGCCGCGUGAGUGAAGAAGGUUUUCGGAUCGUAAAACUCUGUUGUUAGAGAAGAACAAGGAUGAGAGUAACUGUUCAUCCCUUGACGGUAUCUAACCAGAAAGCCACGGCUAACUACGUGCCAGCAGCCGCGGUAAUACGUAGGUGGCAAGCGUUGUCCGGAUUUAUUGGGCGUAAAGCGAGCGCAGGCGGUUUCUUAAGUCUGAUGUGAAAGCCCCCGGCUCAACCGGGGAGGGUCAUUGGAAACUGGGAGACUUGAGUGCAGAAGAGGAGAGUGGAAUUCCAUGUGUAGCGGUGAAAUGCGUAGAUAUAUGGAGGAACACCAGUGGCGAAGGCGGCUCUCUGGUCUGUAACUGACGCUGAGGCUCGAAAGCGUGGGGAGCAAACAGGAUUAGAUACCCUGGUAGUCCACGCCGUAAACGAUGAGUGCUAAGUGUUGGAGGGUUUCCGCCCUUCAGUGCUGCAGCUAACGCAUUAAGCACUCCGCCUGGGGAGUACGACCGCAAGGUUGAAACUCAAAGGAAUUGACGGGGGCCCGCACAAGCGGUGGAGCAUGUGGUUUAAUUCGAAGCAACGCGAAGAACCUUACCAGGUCUUGACAUCCUUUGACCACUCUAGAGAUAGAGCUUCCCCUUCGGGGGCAAAGUGACAGGUGGUGCAUGGUUGUCGUCAGCUCGUGUCGUGAGAUGUUGGGUUAAGUCCCGCAACGAGCGCAACCCUUAUUGUUAGUUGCCAUCAUUUAGUUGGGCACUCUAGCAAGACUGCCGGUGACAAACCGGAGGAAGGUGGGGAUGACGUCAAAUCAUCAUGCCCCUUAUGACCUGGGCUACACACGUGCUACAAUGGGAAGUACAACGAGUCGCAAAGUCGCGAGGCUAAGCUAAUCUCUUAAAGCUUCUCUCAGUUCGGAUUGUAGGCUGCAACUCGCCUACAUGAAGCCGGAAUCGCUAGUAAUCGCGGAUCAGCACGCCGCGGUGAAUACGUUCCCGGGCCUUGUACACACCGCCCGUCACACCACGAGAGUUUGUAACACCCGAAGUCGGUGAGGUAACCUUUUGGAGCCAGCCGCCUAAGGUGGGAUAGAUGAUUGGGGUGAAGUCGUAACAAGGUAGCCGUAUCGGAAGGUGCGGCUGGAUCACCUCCUUUCUA